GCGGAAUAGUUAUGAGCUUCUAUCUUAUGAUACUCCUCACAUAUUGUGGUUCAAUAUAUAUACCUACUCAUCUUAUUCUUCAGUUUGAAGAUUAGGGUUUUUGCAGGCACAACUUUUAGUAUUUUUGGGAACAUUUUCUUGAUAUCAUUUGGCACCCACCAAGCACCAGGUUGUAGAUGUCAACAAUAAUGCGAAUGAUGCGUUCUCUCCAAACCGUCCUUCUCCAAUGCAAGUCACAAGCUAACGACUGAAGGAUAUCAAAGAAUUGCUUAAAUUUUUACAAAUUAUUGAAAACUCGAAUGUCGAUUAUAUUUGAAACUAUUUAAACUUUAUUUUAUUUAGUAUGUUGCUACUAUAAAUGCUAGAUAUUGA